rnacentral:lncRNA from 1 species
AAAAAAAAAAAAAAACCAAAAUACUAAAUUAUAUAUUAUGAUGGAUAUAAUACAUUUUAAUUUCUUAAAAUUUUCUCUCCAAAAAUUUGCAUGAAAUUAUAUUUAAAUCAAUGCAUUCUCCAGUACACUCAGUUGUAAUGCAUUAUUUGAAACUCCAAAAAGAAGGGAAAAAAAGAAAGAAAGUAAAAAAAGAAAUAGAUAUAUCCACACACACACACACACACACACAUUAAUAUAUAAAAAUCUAUUUAUCUAUCUAUACUAACUUAUACCUUUUAUUAGUAUAAAUAUAGAACGAUAGAGGCCCCCCUUAGGGUUGUGAAAGAGCUCCCACAGCUAAGCCCAUGGCCCAGGCUCGGCGCGGGAGGUUCGGAGCCCAAGGCAUGGCAAGAUGGCUAACCGAAUGGGACGAAGAAGCCGAACGAAAAAAUGGGGACGA